UAUAUUUUGGUGUAUGGUGCACAUGAACUUUUGAUGUUCUUAGUGUCAGUUUAAUUCUGUCAAAUAUAA
rnacentral:tRNA from 1 species